UUCCUGAAUUACCUCCGUGCUGGGAAGGGAAGCUCCACACACACAGCCCAGCAAAGAGCAGAACAAAGCCAAGAGAACAACUCCAAGGAGAGAACUAGAGAUGGACCUUAUCCCUGAAUUUGCCACAGAGACCUGGGUCCUUCUGGCUACCAGCCUGGUGCUGCUGUACCUGUUUGGUACCCAUUCCCAUGGACUUUUUAAGAAGUUGGGAAUUCCUGGGCCCACGCCUCUCCCUAUUCUAGGAAAUGUUCUCUCUUACCGCAAGGGAUUCUGGAAAUUUGAUGAAGAAUGUUACAAAAAGUAUGGAAAAACGUGGGGGUUGUAUGAUGGUCGACAGCCUCUGCUGGCUAUCACAGACCCUGAAAUGAUCAAAACAGUGCUAGUGAAAGAAUGUUAUUCUGCCUUCACAAACCGGCGGCCUUUUGGUCCAGUGGGAUUUAUGAAAAGUGCCAUCUCUAUAUCUGAAGACGAGGAAUGGAAGAGAAUAAGAGCAUUGCUGUCUCCAACCUUUACCAGUGGAAAACUGAAGGAGAUGUUCCCCAUCAUGAGCCAGUAUGCAGAUGUGCUGGUGAGAAACCUGAGGCAGGAGGCAGACAAAGGCAAGACCAUCACCUUGAAAGACGUCUUUGGAGCUUACAGCAUGGAUGUGAUCACGGGCACAUCAUUUGGAGUGAACGUUGAUUCUCUCAACAACCCACAAGAUCCCUUUGUGGAAAAGACCAAGAAACUCUUAAGAUUUGAUUUCUUAGAUCCACUCUUUCUCUCGAUAAUACUCUUUCCAUUCCUUACUCCAGUUUUUGAAGCAUUAAAUAUCUCUAUGUUUCCAAAAGAUGUUACAAAUUUUUUAAAAAACUCUGUACAAAAGAUGAAAGAAAGUCGCCUCCACGAUAAACAAAAGCUUUCUUCCCUUUCAGUUCUGUCUGAUCUGGAGCUUGUGGCCCAGUCAAUUAUCUUCAUUUUUGCUGGCUAUGAGACCACUAGCAGUGUUCUUUCCUUCAUUAUGUAUGAACUGGCUACUCACCCUGAUGUCCAGCAGAAACUCCAGGAUGAGAUUGAUGCGGCUUUGCCCAAUAAGACACCCGCCACCUAUGAUGCCCUGGCACAGAUGGAGUGUCUUGACAUGGUAGUGAAUGAAACUCUCAGAUUAUUCCCAAUUGCUGGAAGACUUGAGAGGGUCUGUAAGAAAGAUGUUGAAAUCAAGGGAGUACUCAUUCCCAAAGGAACAGUUGUGAUGGUACCAACCUAUGCCCUUCACCGAGACCCAAAGUACUGGACAGAGCCUGAGGAGUUCCACCCUGAAAGGUUCAGCAAGAAGAACAAGGACAGCAUAGAUCCUUACACAUAUAUGCCCUUUGGAUCUGGGCCCCGAAACUGCAUUGGCAUGAGGUUUGCUCUGGUGAACAUGAAACUUGCUCUCGUCAGAGUCUUGCAGAACUUCUCCUUUAAGCCUUGUAAGGAAACACAGAUUCCCAUGAAAUUAAGCCCAAAAGGAAUGCUUCAGCCAGAAAAACCCAUUGUUCUAAAGAUUGAGUCAAGAGAUGGGACCAUACAUGGAGCCUGACUUUCCCUAAUGAGAUCUGCCCUGUUGUUCUGGAAAACUACAUCUAAGAACACUAGAGAACCUGAUUUACAUUGUAAAGAAAACUCAGAAAUGAAGAAGAGCUUAACUCAGGGCACUGGAGGAAUGACUGCGGAUUCUGUACAUUCAUUGUGUUGCCUCAAUGUCUGUGAAAGACUGUCAUGUGAUAUAAAGGAGGUGACUAAACUAAUGCCAUAUAUGUGGACUCUGCUUCUCUGAUUCUCAUAGGGCAACCUCCACCCACCUCUAGUUAGUACUGUUAACUCCUGCUUAGCUCUGAUAAGAAAAUAAACAUUUCUCAACAUUUUAGCAAGAA